rnacentral:misc_RNA from 1 species
UCUCUCUCUCUCUCUCUCUUCAUGGAAAAUAAAUCAUAAUGAAUUACUUUGCUCUGGAAUUAUUAUAGUGAAAUCCCAUAUUAAUCAAACUUAAUUAUAUGUAAUUUCAUUACUCAAUCAUGCAAUGCAAGGCAAAAACUAAGAGAUAAUUUGGUUGGGAAUUAGCGGUUUAAGUUUUAGAAAGAGGUAAGGGAGGGACAGCAUCAGCAUGAUUGUUGGGGUGAACAUGGCCGUGAAGGAAGCUAG